CAGUCGCCGCGGUAAUACGAAGGGUGCAAGCGUUAAUCGGAAUUACUGGGCGUAAAGCGUGCGUAGGCGGUUUGUUAAGUCUGCUGUGAAAUCCCCGGGCUCAACCUGGGAAUGGCAGUGGAUACUGGCAAGCUAGAGUGUGUCAGAGGAUGGUGGAAUUCCCGGUGUAGCGGUGAAAUGCGUAGAUAUGCGGAGGAACACCGAUGGCGAAGGCAGCCCCCUGGGCCAACACUGACGCUCAUGCACGAAAGCGUGGGGAGCAAACAGGAUUAGAUACCCGUGUAGUCCCUGUCUCUUAUAC
rnacentral:rRNA from 1 species